rnacentral:rRNA from 1 species
CAUCGCCUCUUGCAAAAUGUAAGAAUAAGAGGUCCAGCCUGCCCUGUGACUAUAUGUUUAACGGCCGCGGUAUUUUAACCGUGCGAAGGUAGCGCAAUCACUUGUCUUUUAAAUGGAGACCUGUAUGAAUGGCAUAACGAGGGCUUAACUGUCUCCUUUUUCAAGUCAAUGAAAUUGAUCUCUCCGUGCAGAAGCGGGGAUGAAACCAUAAGACGAGAAGACCCUAUGGAGCUUUAGACACUAAAGCAUAUCAUGCUAAGCAACCCAAACCAAAGGACUAAGCUGAAUGAACCAUGCCCGUAUGUCUUUGGUUGGGGCGACCGCGGGGAAAUAAAAAACCCCCAUGUGGAACGGGAACACUAUUCUCCUAUAAUCAAGAGCUACAGCUCUCAUAAUCAGAAUUUCUGACCUAAAGAUCCGGCAACGCCGAUCAACGGACCAAGUUACCCUAGGGAUAACAGCGCAAUCCCCUUUUAGAGCCCAUAUCGACAAGGGGGUUUACGACCUCGAUGUUGGAUCAGGACAUCCUAAUGGUGCAGCCGCUAUUAAGGGUUCGUUUGUUCAACGAUUAAAGUCCUACGUGA